AGGGGCCCAAGUUGACAGACUCCGGCAUAAAAAGUGGCUAAUACAACACCCCACUAAAGUCAAACACCUUCAAAACUGUUAUACGCUCUCGAAGACAGGAAGCCCCUCCACGAAAGUGACUUUAAGUACUAUUAAUCCACGAAAGCUAGGAAACAAACUGGGAUUAGAUACCCCACUAUGCCUAGCCUUAAACACAAGCAAUAAGACACAUCUUUGCUUGCCAGGGGACUACGAGCCCCAGCUUAAAACCCAAAGGACUUGGCGGUGCUUUAGACCCACCUAGAGGAGCCUGUUCUAGAACCGAUAACCCCCGUUAAACCUCACCUUCUCUUGUUUUUCCCGCCUAUAUACCGCCGUCGUCAGCUUACCCUAUGAAGGCUUAAUAGUGAGCACAAUUGGUAAAACCCAAAACGCCAGGUCGAGGUGUAGCGCACGAGGAGGGAAGAAAUGGGCUACAUUCACUGACCCAGUGAACACGAACAAUGCCUUGAAACAGACAUUCAAAGGAGGAUUUAGCAGUAAGGAGAGAAAAGAGUGCCCUCCUGAAACUGGCCCUGAAGCGCGCACACACCGCCCGUCACUCUCCCCAAACAAAAGACACACAUAAAUAAACAACAAACAAAAUAAAGGGGAGGCAAGUCGUAACAUGGUAAGUGUACCGGAAGGUGCACUUGGAAAAAUCAGAACGUAGCUAAAA
rnacentral:rRNA from 1 species